UAUUUUUGAUUCAUCUAAAUC
rnacentral:piRNA from 1 species